GGUGAACGCUGGCGGUAGGCCUAACACAUGCAAGUCGAACGGCAGCACAGUAAGAGCUUGCUCUUACGGGUGGCGAGUGGCGGACGGGUGAGGAAUACAUCGGAAUCUACUUUUUCGUGGGGGAUAGCGUAGGGAAACUUACGCUAAUACCGCAUACGACCUACGGGUGAAAGCAGGGGAUCUUCGGACCUUGCGCGAUUGAAUGAGCCGAUGUCGGAUUAGCUAGUUGGCGGGGUAAAGGCCCACCAAGGCGACGAUCCGUAGCUGGUCUGAGAGGAUGAUCAGCCACACUGGAACUGAGACACGGUCCAGACUCCUACGGGAGGCAGCAGUGGGGAAUAUUGGACAAUGGGCGCAAGCCUGAUCCAGCCAUACCGCGUGGGUGAAGAAGGCCUUCGGGUUGUAAAGCCCUUUUGUUGGGAAAGAAAAGCAGCAGGUUAAUACCCCGCUGUUCUGACGGUACCCAAAGAAUAAGCACCGGCUAACUUCGUG
rnacentral:rRNA from 1 species